ACUCAAAGAUGUAGUCGCAGUCCUAAAAUAGGUGCCCAAAUUUUUACCAUGGAAUUUUCCAAAAAUACUUGAAUCUUGAAAAUGACUAACCCAUUAAAAGAAACAUAAGUUUGAGAUCUACAACAUGGAAACAAAAUGGAAAAUUACAUAAAUCAAUAGAUAUUAUAGAAGUUGUGAAGUUGUGAAGGGGAAACUCGAGAACAAGUCAACAUAUUAUGAUGCCAGUCUCUGAUAUCUCUCAGUUCUCCAAAUGUAGAGAUUUAUCCAAACUUGGCUCUUCAUAAUCAUAUACACCAUUUAUUGGCACCUUUAUUUUUAACCUUAAUCUUCAUUCCAUAAAAUAAAGGCAGCUCACAUUCCUUUCCUUGAGUGAAAUCACAGCCCAUAAUUAAUUUUGGAAUGCUACUGCACAAAAUAUCAAGCAAAGAAAAUGGAGACAAUUAGUAAAAUGGUAAUUUUGGUGAUAAUGUUCAUAAAAAGAAAUAGUAAACAUUGCAUAUCAUAAUCCCAACUCCCAAGUGUCAAGAUCUUUUUUUNUUCUUUAUUUGAUAUUACUGCAAUAAUGCAGAGAAAAUGGGGGAAACUUUAUAGUUAUGCAACCAGUUUUUUCAGCAUUCUGCAUUUCUUGAAGCUCUAUAUAAAGAAAAACCCAAAAAAUAAAAUUCCCACAAUCCCAAAUUUCAAGAUCAUACCUUUAUUUUGGAAGAUCCAUGGAACUGUAAAAAAAAAAAUAUUAAAAAGCACCCAAAAAAAUCAAGAAAAGAGAAAAUCAGAGUAGCACUAUGCACUAUGUUGAAGUAAUAUCAGCAGAUAAAUAUUGAAUACUUAGAAAUUAGUACCUUUUUAGAUCUUCUUCUCUUCAACUCAAGGAAAAUAGGUGCCAUUUUUGGAAUAACAGCUAUUUGUUGAAGCUUUGUGAGCAUAGGAAUAAUAACCAAGAAAUAGUGAAUUAUGUUGUGUUGAGGUGCAUUGAAUCUGGUCAGCUUUUCCACAUGCUCCUGUACUUGUAUGUAUUUUUUGUACACAGUGAUGAUUUUGGGUGUUUAAUUAGGUGUUUCAAACCCCACUAAGAUUGUCACUUUCUGCCUUGGGAUAUUUUCUUUAUUGGAGAAUGAUGAAAAGUUUG
rnacentral:lncRNA from 1 species